rnacentral:rRNA from 1 species
GAGCCCGGAGAUGGGCACUGAGACUAGGGCCCAGGCCCUAUGGGGCGCAGCAGGCGCGAAACCUCUGCAAUAGGCGAAAGCUUGACAGGGUUACUCUGAGUGAUUUCCGUUAAGGAGAUCUUUUGGCACCUCUAAAAAUGGUGCAGAAUAAGGGGUGGGCAAGUCUGGUGUCAGCCGCCGCGGUAAUACCAGCACCCCGAGUGGUCGGGACGUUUAUUGGGCCUAAAGCAUCCGUAGCCGGUUCUACAAGUCUUCCGUUAAAUCCACCUGCUUAACAGAUGGGCUGCGGAAGAUACUGUAGAGCUAGGAGGCGGGAGAGGCAAGCGGUACUCGAUGGGUAGGGGUAAAAUCCGUUGAUCCAUUGAAGACCACCAGUGGCGAAGGCGGCUUGCCAGAACGCGCUCGACGGUGAGGGAUGAAAGCUGGGGGAGCAAACCGGAUUAGAUACCCGGGUAGUCCCAGCUGUAAACGAUGCAGACUCGGUGAUGAGUUGGCUUAUUGCUAACUCAGUGCCGCAGGGAAGCCGUUAAGUUUGCCGCCUGGGGAGUACGGUCGCUAGACUGAAACUUAAAGGAAU